GCCGGCUGGCUCAGUUGGUUGGGCAUCUGACUUCAGCUCAGGUCAUGAUCUCACGGUCUGUGAGUUCGAGCCCCACGUCGGGCU
rnacentral:tRNA from 1 species